rnacentral:rRNA from 1 species
UCGCACGAGAAAGUCUGCCUUCGGGCGGGCGAGUAAGGUGGCGCACGGGUGAGUAACGCGUAGGUAAUCUACCCCCGGAACCGGGAUAACAGUGCGAAAGUGCUGCUAAUACCGGAUACGAUCUUUUGGCGGGAGCUGGAAGGUGAAAGUCGGCCUCUCGAAGAAGCCGGUGCUCGGGGAUGAGCCUGCGUCCUAUCAGCUAGUUGGCAGGGUAACGGCCUACCAAGGCGACGACGGGUAGCUGGUCUGAGAGGAUGAUCAGCCACACUGGCACUGAAACACGGGCCAGACUCCUACGGGAGGCAGCAGUGAGGAAUUUUGCGCAAUGGGAGCAAUCCUGACGCAGCAACGCCGCGUGGGUGAUGAAGGCCUUCGGGUCGUAAAGCCCUGUCAGGUGGGAAGAAUGUCCCGGGAGCGAACAGUUUCCGGGAAUGACGGUACCACCAGAGGAAGCACCGGCUAACUCCGUGCCAGCAGCCGCGGUAAUACGGAGGGUGCGAGCGUUAUUCGGAAUUACUGGGCGUAAAGCGCGUGUAGGCGGUCCUGCAAGUCUGAUGUGAAAGCCCCGGGCUUAACCCGGGAAGUGCAUUGGAAACUGCAGGUCUUGAGUACUGGAGAGGAUGGGGGAAUUCCCGGUGUAGAGGUGAAAUUCGUAGAGAUCGGGAGGAAUAUCAGUGGCGAAGGCGCCCAUCUGGACGGUAACUGACGCUGAGACGCGAAAGCGUGGGGAGCAAACAGGAUUAGAUACCCUGGUAGUCCACGCUGUAAACGAUGAGCACUGGGUGUAGCGGGUACUCAUUCCUGCUGUGCCGCAGCUAACGCGUUAAGUGCUCCGCCUGGGGAUUACGGUCGCAAGACUAAAACUCAAAUGAAUUGACGG